GGGCAUCAGGAACUCAACGUUCCUAUUACUCAGCAUGGAAAAUGUGGUCUGAUUGGUGCUUGGAACGGUCGUUGGAUCCUAUAUCAGCUCCUUUUGAAGAUGGAGUUGAAUUUCCUUACAUACCUUUUCGAAUCGGGCAAGGCCUUUCAUACCAUCAACCUAGACAGAUUAGCAAUCUCUGCAGGGCAUAGAGGUUUAGAUUGUGUCCCAAUCGGAAAAAAAUCUGAUGAUUUGUCGCUACUCAAAGGUAUUCGUUUUUCACACCAAGUAUGGUUUAUUUUGGGACUUGAAUUUGGUCUUCAACCUAUUGGACUCCUGGACUCAAAACACAGACUUAUCACUUAAACAUCUAUCGGCCAAAUUACUCAUGCUGUUUUGUUUGAGGCCUGUAUCUGACAUCAGAGCAUUGGAUUGGCACGCCCGGGUUUUCACCCCAAAAGGAGUAUCCUUCAAUAUCUUGCAGAGGACGAAGUCUUCGACUUCCAUCUGUCUGAUGGAAUAUGAACUAUGCACAUCUUUCUUGCGUCCAUUACAACACGGCCUUCUCUUCAUCUUGUUUAAAAGACCUCAUCUACCAGUGUCUACACCCACUCUGGGGAUGUGGUUAGAAGGACGUACGUAUGUAGACUAUCCGGUUUUCUGUUCGGUUCUGUUCUACAUUUUGCGGUUCUGCUGGUCUUCAGAUCGCUACAGAAAGAGGAAGUGUUGAGAAGUGCAACAUCUGAUAUACUACAUGCCGAGUGCUGA